AGAGUACCUCUUUUAAUAAAAAUGUUGCGGAAUUUGUUCCCAGUAAAACAUGAUAAAUACGUUAUCAAAGCAUUUCCAAAGAAAAGUAUUUUUAUUCAUUUUAAAACAUUCGGGAUGUCAUCAUUAUUUUUAUUCAUUUUAAAACAUUCGGGAUGUCAUCGUCAAUACAGAAACGUAAGCAUAAACAGAACUUACAUUCAAUAUCACUAGUGAUUUAUAUCUCCUUAAUCUCUCAGUAUAAUGUGACUUCAUAUCAACACCUGUGAUAUAAAUAAACUGAGUGGGUCAGGUUGGGAAACCUGGUGAGUACAUAUGGUUUUCAACCCACAAUAAUAUAAUUAUUACGUUUAAACAUCAAACAAUCAACCCAAUUACCCAUCCCCAUUAUCUUCCUUACUCUUAAGGGUCUACCCUAAGAUUCAUCUAUCCUGCAUUCGUUCAUUUUGAAGUCCCUUGUUUCUAGGGUUUAUAAGACAGGCACUAAUUCCAUAGUUUCCAAUGCACUAAAUCCAUAGCUGCUAAAGUUCAUUCAUCGGGUACUAAAUCCAUAGCUACGAGUGUAGGUACUAAGUCCACAACGUUUACCUAACAAGCACUAAGUCCAUAGCUGCCAGGUACUAAGUCCAUAGUUACCAUCACCUAACAGGUACUAAGUCCAUAGCUACCUGUGUUUACCUAAUAGGUACUAAGUCCAUAGCUACCAGUGUUUGUCCAAUAGGCACUAAGUCUAUAGCUGCCGAUGUUAUUUAUUACGAGCUAAGUCUAUAGCUGUUAAUGUUUACUCACAUCAUCUUUUAUCUCUCAUUAUUCAUCAAACCAUGUCAUACCCAACAUAUUUGUAUAUAUAAAAUACAUAUACAGUUUAAAUCAUUUAAAACAUGUAUAAAAUCGUUCAUCCAGCAUAGAUAGCAAGUAUAUAGAUAAUAUGCACAUGUAGCACAUAGUUUAUACAAAAUACUUCAUAUCUAUGUGUAAGACAAAAGUAACUAUGCACUCACCUGGGAAGGUGGUGACUCGACACUCGAACAACACUUCGUUACUCUCAACUCAACUUUCCUCAGACAAAACCUAAUAUUAUUACCACUAGAGUUUAGUCUAAUAUUCACCGAGACUAAUUAAUAGUCUGUCUAUUAUUACUAUUAUAUAAGCGUUAAACAAUACUUAUAUAACCCAUAAUAAUAGCCCAAGUACUUAUUAUAAGUUCCUAAUAACGUUACUAUAAUUAAAUAAAAGCUAUAUUAAAAAUAGUGUAGGCGUAGCUCACAUAAAGUGGGAUUUUCGCAAAACCGGGCUUCGCUGGAGUAGCGUUCCCGAACCGAAAGACCCUUUUUCUCGGGACUUCGGGAGCGUCGAGGCUUCCUUCGGGUGCUAGGGGGUUUACCUAGAUUUAGGGGGGGUUAGGGAGCUUAGAGAGAGAGAGAGAGAGAGAGAGAGAGAGAGUAUAGAGAGAGAGAGAACGAAAAGGGUUGAGGGGUGAGGAAAUGAGGGAACCCGACACUCUUAUUUAUAGGUUGAAUUCCUGAAGGACUUGCCGAGUCGGUUCACUAACCCGCCGAGUCAAUGCCACAUGUCAUCACCUGAUGGCUUUUCUUGGGGAGAAAGCCUUGGCCCAUAUUCAGCCAUGUCACCCCUUUUGCAGUAGCACCCUGUCGUCACUUCCUCGCUACAUUUCCCAAAGUGUUUCUUUUUACACUUCUCGCACCACUUAGCUUCACCUCCUCCUCCUCAUCCUUCAGUCUUUGAGAAUUUCCUUUCUUUAUUGGAUUUUGUAGAUCUUUCAAACUUCCGCUUUUCUCUUGCCUUAUCUUUAUCUAGACACUUUUCUCUUAUCCGGGUCUCUACGUUCUUAGCUGCUCUAACGGCUGUUUUCAAAGUAGUUUCCAUUUUGACCGUUGGGCCAAAGUCCGUGGGCAGUCCACUAGCAAACCUAUCGAUCUUGGAGAGUUCAGUAGGCACCAAGUAGGGGAAUAGCUUCAUCCUCUCGGUGAAUGCGGUGACAUACUCAUCCACACACAUAUUUCCAUUCUUCAAGUUCUGAAAUUCGUUGUUUAGGUCUCUCAGAUCUAUCUCUGAGCAGUACUGCAUUUUCAACUGCUCCACGAAUGCUUCCCAAGACAUUCGCAUGGCUUCUCCUCGUGGCAUUGUAUCUGCCAAAAACUUCCACCAACUUAGCACUCCAGUCUUUAGUUGUCUGACUGCAAAGACGGUCUUUUGCCUGUCGCUACAGUCACAAUUUUCAAACACCAUCUCCAUUUCGGAGAUCCAAUCCAUAAUCUCAAUCGGCUUCGGGCUUCCAGAAAGGCUUGGUGGCUUAGCACCCAAGAAGUUCUUAUACAUUCAUCCAUCCUUGUCGUUUCCCCUCUCCAGGCCAUUCCUUCGUUCUCCUUGAGUCCCAACUUGACUCACAGGGCGGCUAUAAUUCCCUUCCUUCGAUUGCUCGGGAAUCAGCUCAGGUUGCUCAAUGGGCGUGAUAGGUUCGUCCCUAUUUUCAUGCACCAUCAUCCUCAUUUCUUCCCUUUGUUCAGCUAACAUAGCCCGAAUUAUGGCUUGUACUCCAGCCAUGGUGAUUGGUCCAGGUGUAGCUUCUACUACAACAAGUAUUUGUUCAAUCACUAGGGGCUGUUGAUUCCUAUUUCCAUUUGCGUUCCCGACUCCACUUCGGGUUAUUGCCAUUUCGAUCUAAACACCAAUUCAGACGUUCGGUGUGUAAUGACGAGAAUUAAGAUAGGAAAGAUUUUAUUUACGAUCGACGUGCAAAUCUACCUAUUACUCCGAAAAGUUACAUGCCAGUUCUAAUACCGUACCUAAACGUUUAGAAAUCUAAACACAUAAAAUUUCCAAAUCCGGUCAGCAACAGACAAUAGAUCCGUUCAGACAUCUAGCAUCAUAAAGCAUCAUAAAUCAUUUAGAACAUAAACGCAUGUUAGGCAUUUUCCCUAAAUAAGCUAGUGCUUGUGUCUAUUCAGUUGUAUUACCUAAGACACACUCCUCACCAUCAUUGCUUAGCAUUCUAAGUUUAAAUCUAGAAAUAAAAUCAUAUUCCUAGUUCGCUUAAACUAAUGCUCUGAUACCAACUGUGACAUCCUCAUUUUCUUUGCCAGAAAAGACCGAUUUUGUUUAUGCUUUAUAAAAAUCAAAGUACCUAUUUUAAUAAAAAUGUUGUGGAAUUUGUUCCCAGUAAAACAUGAUAAAUACGUUAUCAAAGCAUUUCCGAAGAAAAGUAUUUUUAUUCAUUUUAAAACAUUUGGGAUGUCAUCGUCAAUACAGAAACAUAAGCAUAAACAGAACUUACAUUCAUUAUCACUAGUGAUUUAUAUCUCCUUAAUCUCUCAGUGUAAUGUGACUUCAUAUCAACACCUGUGAUAUAAAUAAACUGAGUGGGUCAGGUUGGGAAACCUGGUGAGUACAUAGGGUUUUCAACCCAUAAUAAUAUAAUUAU
rnacentral:lncRNA from 1 species